UGUUUUGAAAAUGUAAAAAAUAGAUCUUUUUAUAACAAAUUUUUUUUCUAGAAUAUAUAAUAUUAAGAAACAGAGGGAAAUGAUUUACACCAAUUGUUAUAAAUUUAAACGAAACGGAUGGCAAUCAUUUCUAGAAAACAGAGAGUUUAUAACCAUUUAUUAUAAACUGCUGGUUAAAGUCGCAAAAGUCUGCUCAACAACCAGAAAGUGUUAUAAAAAGGUGGAUUAAUUUGAUGGAAAAGUAACAAAACCAUUAUGAUUACUCUUGUAACAAAGGACAGUGGUGACGCACUAACGAGAAGUGAAAGAUGCUAAUGACAUACUAAAAUAAUGUACAUUUCAUAGUUUAAAGAACAUACGCUUUACGGAAAAAUCGAUCAAUUCACACAUCGAUAGACAAUUGCAGUUUCGAUCGGUACAUAAAUACGGAUUCGGUACUAAAACAUACAUCAACACAUAAUAUAUACAAAUUUCAUAUACAAACAAAGAUAAUUAAGUUUAUACAUACAUUGACCGUAUGUAGAUUAAAUAUAUUUUACAUUUUAAAUAAUUAAUCUCACUAUAAAAACAGCUAAACUGGAGUUUUUUUAGAGGUGCCAUAUAGGAAAAAAAAUUGAAAACCAAUCUGCCAUGUUAUCCCGGACUGGGCUUGAAAGACCAACUUUCGCAAUCUAUUAUUACUAAAUUUCAGAGUCUAUUUACACCAUUCUCAGCAUUCCAUUUUAACAGCCCAUUAUUAUUCAGAUACUAAAGGCACUAACCCAUUAUUACUCAUAUACUAAAAGCCCUAAAACAUAAUCCCUAGUUAAUUAAUACUAAAAGCUCUAAAACAUAUAAUUCCUUAAAAACUAAAGAUCACUCAUCCUCACCCUAACCCUAAUCACCGACUCCAUCUCAUCGUGAUUCUCUUCAUCUUCAACUUAAAUAUUAUCAUUUUUGAAUGAAAACAUUAUUAUUAUUGAAAUAUUAAUUAUUUAUCCUAAACUCUAAUAAACAAAAUAUACAAGUUGUUAAUGCACUCUAUUGUUUGCAAAAAAGUUUUUCAUAUUAUUUCCCUUUUUCAUUUAAUGCACAAAUACAAAUGUAGAUUUUUCUUUUAUCUAGAAGAUGUUUUUUAAUUUAACAUACAAAUUAUAAACCGUUUGACCAUCUUUAUCAUAAAUUUGGUUAUAUAUAUAUAUAUUUAGUUUUAAUAUAUUAUUCAUUAUUUACAUCUUAUUAGUUUUAAACCAUACAAAAACAUAUAUUAAUUGCAUAUUUUAAAACUUACUUUAUAUUUUAAAACGAUUAAAGUCACAAUGACCAAUUAUUUUCCAGCACCACCAAAAACUCGAAAAAUCCUAUACAACCGAAAUUUUAUUUCCAUAUAUUAUUAAAUUUUAUUUGUUUAUAAUAUGUUAUAAAAACAAAACAAAAACAAAAUUGUGAUAAAGAAGGAAAGUUUUGAUAGAAUGACCAAAAUGUUUCAUUUAAUAGGUAAAAUGACCCUUAUACCCUAGAUAUAUAAAAUUUAAUUAAAAAUAUUAAAAAACAUUAAAAUAAAAAAAUAAUUAAGUAAUAGUCUUAGAUUAUACGUUUUCAAAAUACAAUUUUUUUAAAUAAUUUUUUUACUUGAUUUUUUAAUUGCUAUUUUUCUCUAUUUUUGUUUUCAAUUUAUCUUUUUGUAAUUCUAGCCGAAGUUCACAACAAGUGGAGCGACAACCUCGGACAUCAACCAAUUAUCGCUAGGAUCAUUAGGAUGUGUCCCAUCACAAAUCACACAAAUAAAAAUGCUUUCCUAAGAACAACUUUCAUUUAUCUAGACAUAUAGGUUUGUCUAAAAAAUACUUACUUUUAAUUAUUCCAACAACAUUUCAAAUAAUUGCUUUUAACCACUCAACAAGAACAAAAAAUGGAAGGGCGGGUGCCUAUUUCUACGUCUGACACAAUGUACCAACGGUUCGAGGAAGGGAAAAUUUAUCACAUUAGAUAUUUUAAUCUUCUUCCCAAUAACCGACGGUACAUGCUUACCGUUCAACCAUACAUAAUCAAUAUCAAUGAGACAACAAUUAUAACACUGAUUCAAGAAAACAUUUCACCAGAUCCUUCAUACAUUUUCCGGCCCCAACGCUAUCCCCAGUUGUUCAGCUUAGCAAGUGCAACCAACUUCCUUCCAGGUCAAAAAAAACCCAUACCUAUCACACAUACAAAUAAAUUCUCUAUUUUUUAACAAAUUAUUCCCACAGAUGUUGUUGGCCGCAUAUGCCUCUUCCAAGGAAGUGAUUUAUAUAACCACAACACAGAUACAAAAAUCAUUAUUGGAUUGCGUUAAGCAAUAAAUAUAUAAUACAAUAUUUUUUUGUAGAUCCAAAUUGGUCCGUCUAACUAUAUGGGACAAUGAGACGGCCAAUUUCAGAGAGUUAAAUCACAUAUCUACCAGGAAAAACUAAAUCGUAAUCAUCAUAAAUAUCAUUCCAAGGUUAUAUGAAGGUAAUCAACUAAACAUAAGGUUUAUGUCUAACUAAAUGCUUACAAAUAUUUCACUUUUCAGGGAAACUAUCACUCACAACCACACCAGGAUCGCGCUUUUACUUUGACAACGACAUAGAUAUCAUACAACGCUUUCAAAAGAGGAAUAAACUGCUAUCCUAAGCCUGAUGGCAUACCUCCACAUGGGAUCAAACCACAAGACGGAAACCGACACGAGUCAACUGUUUUAAAAUUUAAAUUUCAAUGCAAACAACCAUAUAUUUUUCAAACUUACUAUUGUUUAGAAAACAGAAACUGAUCACCGCAUCUCAUUCAAACAAAAACUCUAUGGUUAAUUCUACAACGAACCUAGGUUCAAUAUCUGAUACUUAAAACUACAAAAAUAUAAAAAUUUACUUUAAUAAAACAUAUUAUCCCCGCGGACCCCGGCUCUAGUAAAAAAUAAUAAAAUUAAUUUUUAAUCUGUCCAUAGGAAUCAAACCUAGGUUCAAACAAAAUUAAACCAUAUGCUCAACCACUGUACCAAAUCAGAUUAUUGGUUUUGUUAUCUUUGUGUCAUAUUUAUAUCUAAUAUGUUUUAUUCAUAUAUUUCUAAUGAUCUAGAAUUAGUUCCACGAAUAUAUAAAUUCUAAGUAAUUGUGAUUAAUUAACUUAAUUAUUCUUAUUCUGUUUUUUUUUUAAAUCAGAAUUUCAGAAUAAAAAUUUUAAAAAUCAAAAAGCAUUCAAAAUUUAAGAAGAAAAUAUGAAAAAUACAAUUUUUAAAAAUUGAUUUUUUUCUAAAAUUGUAUAGUAUUAAAGUAGAAUCUCUACUAGAAUUAUGUCCUUACCUUUUGAAAUUAUUUACAGUGUUAUGUCACUCUUUUAUUUAGACUUUUAAAAUUUAUUUUGCCACCUAUUACUCAUCCAGUCAGUUUAUCCCAUUUUAAACCAUUUAGAAAUCUCAACAAAACUAAAGGCCCAUCUAGACCACUCGAUUUUCUUGCUCAAUAGCUCAUUUUUAAUUGGUUCUGUUAGUUUCCUAUCGUAAGUGAUUUCCUUUUUUUAUUUUUGGCAAAAUGAUGUCUAUAUAUAAAGGGCUUAUUUGUGAUAUAACCAAAAAAAAAGUAAAAUUAAUUUUGUAGAAAGAGGUUAGAGAGAGAUAGGAAGAGAGAAGAGGAGAGAGGAUGUGAUUUUGGUUAUAUAAUGAAUUAUGGGUUUUUGUUUGGUUAUAUCACCUAAUUUUCCAUAUAAAAUUCAAAAACAACCAAUUUUUACUCAGUAAACAAAUAUGUAUUCUAAUCCCCAAACCACAAAAUACAUACCCUAAUCCAUUUGUAUAACAUUAUGCUACUUUUUGAUGUACAUCAUCACAACUCUGUUUCGAACAAAGAUAAACCUGAAAUUUUUUUUUAAUAAAAAAGUAAUGUUUAAUAUUUGUGUUGACUAUAAUUUUCCUAGAUAACUUAAGCAACUAAUUAUACCAUUUUAAUUGUAAACUAAAUGGUCUUGACGGCCCAAUGGUCUUGAGGGAGCUUUCGGCCCAAUAAGGAUCCGAGUUCGAAUUCUCCUAGUCAUCGUCGAUUAAAAUGAGGUAAAAAAGGCAGCCCUCCAGAAUAUCUUCUGCGGAGGUGUACUUAGACGCUAGUCGAGUUUUCUCUGGGGUGUCCAGAUUACAUGGAUUAUCAAAAAAAAAAAACUAAAUGGUUAAAAUAUUUCUGUUAAUUAGUAUAUUCUCCUAUAUAUUGAAUGAGAAGUCAAUUAAGUGAUUUUUUGCUUAUGUGUCAAUCAUAGAGAGAAUUUAAGAAAAAAUGUUAUAACUUGAUUGGUUGAGAGAGUUUCAAUUAUUUUAAUUUGAUUUAAAAUAUAAGGUAAGUCUAGAACUAAUUAGUGUCACUUACCAAAUAAUCUAAAUGAUAUUACAAAUAAUAAUUUAUAGUAACUAAUUUUCAAAAUUAUAAAAAGUGUAAUAAUGCUUGAUUAAUUUCUAUUGUAUCUAUAUACAACAUAAAAUAAUUAAUAGAACACAAUUUAUCGAAAUCGAUAUAACGAUUUAAUAUUUUUUAAUAUAAAACAUUAUAUUCACAUAGUAUUAUAAUAAGCAUUAAUUAAUGUAUUACAAUGUCCAUAUGUGUCUUAUAAGUCUUUUAUUAAAAAUAUUAUAAAAUUAUUUAUCAGGGCUUACAAAAUUAUUUUAUCAUAAUUUUAAAUUAUUUAUAAGAAUUUAUAAAACAUUUAUGAAAAAUAUAAAUACGCAUAUAUAUUUAAAAAAGUCACUUAAGUGACUUUGGCUUACAUGUCGAUCAUUUGUGAAGUCUUAAGAAAAUUGUAAUAAUUUUUUUGGUCGAUAAUUUUUAAUUUUAUUUAUUUUAGUUUAGAUUGGACGGUUAAUUAAUAGAACACAAUUUAUAGAAAUCAAUAUAAUGAUUUCAUAUUCAUAUAAAAAUUAUAAUCAUAUAUUUUAAUAUUAUUAAUCUCUUAUAUCGUCCAUAUAUGCUUUAUAAAUAAUUAGGUUUCAAAGAUUGGCCGAAUUAUAUUGAACGAAACAUGUGAGAACUUUGAUUAAAAAUUAUUUUGCAUUUAAAUAAAUUAAAAAGUGAAUAAGGUAAUGCUAUGAUUGAAAAGAAUUAUAAGAUGGAGUUUUAGUUUAUUGAUUGUAUAAUAUGUAUUUCUAUUUAGAGAGAAAAAUAAAUAUUUGACAAAAAAUAAGUAAAAAUUUAGGAAAACAUUAGCAAAAAUUAAUUAAAAAAAAUAGGCUGAAGAAUAUGUAUAAUAUAUGUAGGAGAAGUAAAUAUUGUAUUUAAAUAUAUAAUUUCAUAAACAUUUGUUAUUACUAAAUAUUUAUCAGUUGUUUUUACAUCAAAUUUAUGGAAAAUUUUCGAAAUUUUAUAUAUAAUAUAUAUUUAUAUAAUAUUUAUAUCUACGAAUUCGCGGACAACCAUCUAGUAUAUAUAUAAAGUACAAAGUAUGAAAAUUGAUAAUCUUAUAUAAUAAAACAGGGUUUUCUCUCACCUCCUUGCGCCACGUCAGUACAGUGGGAGGGGCAAAUCCCGACACGUGUUGCCAUACCAAAGCCUCUGCGAUUUGUUUACUUCAGCUGUUCUGUAAUUGAGUGUUUGAGAGCUGGGCUUUUAUUAAAAUGAAUAGGUUAGGCCCGUACCUUUAGCCCAUUUAGAGACUCAAUUGAUAUUAAGGUUCGUCGUCGUCUUCCUCUUUCACAUGCGACCUCCGCGUUGAUCCGAAAUCUGUAACGUCUCCCCGAGGCAGGAUGACUUUUUGGUUAUCUUGAUAAAGUAUCUGAAUACAAUAAGCUCCAUGUAACCAGGUCUGAUCCUUGAUCAAAACUCCUGAUUGUUAUUAUAUUAAUUCCAUUAUCAACUUUCGUUCCUAUCAUGAAACCAACGAAAAGGUUUCAAUCGCAAUCAUCGCCACCAUGACUGUGCUAUCAUCUACAGAUCGAGGUUCGCUAUCAUCUCUUUUCUCUAAUGGUUUGCAUGUUGCGUUCUCAUGAUUCAUCUAUUUUCGCUUGCUGGUUUGAUCUUUUGUUAUCUUGUCAUGUUUCAUUUCUGGAGAAUUGGUUGAGUUUUCAUUCGUCGAUCACCUGAUAUACCAAGUAAUAUGAUUGGUUCUGUCAAUGAAAUUGUGUUUUUGAUUCCGAGAAUUUUGCGAUUUCUAAUUCUUAGAUUGCUUUCAUUUGUAGAUCAUACAAGGGAUUCAUGAUUGCAUAGACUUAUGGAAUCAGAACUGUAUAGGAAAUGAAAUCUUAUUGAGUUUGUGAAUGAAUUGUAGAUAACGCUGAGAAGAAGGUGAAGAGUUCGUAUUUUGAUUUGCCGGCUAUGAACGUAUUCGUUGCAUUUCCUCAAGCAACUCCAGCCUCUAAGUUCCCAACGUGCAGUAAGGAUUUUUUUCAGAGAAUAUACAUUUUUUGUUAUGUUUUGUUGUGCUUUUGCUUCAAUCUGUGUGUUUGUAUACUUUAUUACAGCUUCAGACUAUUAUCAUUUCAGUGAACUAUUGACUCCAGAGGAGCAGGCUGUGCGGAAGAGUGAGGGAGUUCAUGGAGAAAGAAGUUGCCCCCAUUAUGACAGAGGUUUGUCUAUCUUUGUGUUUGUUUGUUUGUUUACUUUGAUAUUAUCAUUGCGUGACAUCAUCCUUCUUUCUUUGAUUUUUACUCAUCAAUACUGGGAGAAGGCAGAGUUUCCGUUCCAUAUCAUUCCAAAGCUUGGAGCUUUAGGUGUUGUUGGUGGCUCUAUUAAGGGUUAUGGCUGUCCUGGCCACAUCACAGCCAAUGCCAUUGCAACAGCAGAGAUAUCUAGAGUUGAUGCAAGCUGUGGGACUUUUAAUUUGGUCCUUAGCUUGGAGAAGGUUCCAUCUCAAGACAUAGACUGAUAUUCAAUUAAUGAUCCCACAUCAAUCAGCUAAAGACCUGCAUGUAUAUCUUCAUUAUCUCAUUUGUUAUUAUAACAGAUUGUGGAGUUCCUUGGCACUGGAGAAGUUGUUAGAAUUAAAACUACUAAUGGGUGGUGCCUGCCCGUGGAUUCUCUUCCUUCACAUGUUCAUUGUGCCAUAACGCCAGCGCAGUUGGGGGAUCUCAGUUUAUCAAACUUUAGGUUCUAAACUCAUCACUACCAAACAAUAUCAACACUGUUAUGCAGGUACCUAAGGAUGUCUGCACCGUCAAGAAGCCUCACAAUGGUUAGCUUCGCAUCAUUGGGAGUGUCCAAGCCUAAUGCCCAUUCAUGCUCCUUUUGUUUCUAAUUUUCUUCUAAGUUUGAAUAACAUGUUUAGCAAGUCCCUUCCUCUCUGAAUUUUUUUGUGUGGUCAACUUUUCGGAAUAUUUUCUAUGUUUAAUCUUCUCAAAAA